UGACUGAGAUCAGGACUCUUUCAUGCAGCACCCCAACAGUGCAUGCCUAAAUGCUGAUGAAAAUAGGUCAUGUUUCUGAGAGCAUGCUGACCAAAACUGAAUCACUUCUCUCAAAGUUAAUGUGUAAAAUUUCAACCUCAACAUCUUUUCACAUCUUCUGAACCAUCCACCAAAGAUUAAAUCCAUUCAACACAGAGUUGGUCAUAGGGAGAAUUGGUUGAAACUUAGUUGAUGUAUGAUAUGCACAUAGUACUUGACUUAUUAAAUAUUUGGAAGGUCAGAAAAUCCCAUUUUGCAGACAUGCCUUGUAUUUGUUUACUAUAUAUGAUAGUCAAUUUCAAACAUCUUACCUGAAAAAUGAAAUAAUAUAUAACCAGAUUUAAAUACUAUGCUUCAUAUGACAUGCUACAAAUCAUUAAGGAGCAAAAAGAAAAACUUAAAAUCAUUCCACUCCACAAAUGUGAGUCAACUUCAAAGCUAUUUGCAUAUAGGUUUUUGGAUGUGCAAGUUAACCUAUACCAACCAUGAAAGCUGGGAAGAUUAAGGUGAUAUUUUACUUCAUCUCUCUCUCUCUCAUUUCAAAGUUUUAUAAAACAUCUAUUAUUCAAUGCCAUCUGUUAGGACUAUAUUCAGACAAAUGUAGGAGGCAUUAACCAUUCCUCACUAUUCACCACUUGACCCAUUUUGAGGCCUGUGAUUGUUUCAUAAGAAAAAUCUUGGUUUCUGUGAAGCCCCGGUGUGGGCGGAAUAGGCUCUUGUCAGAUUUCUCUCCUGCAAUACAUAGCAAAGUGGCUGGCCUCUGUGUCUCACGAGGCAACUGUGAAGCUCUCCCUUCUCGUAGCUUCUUGUUCCUGGGAACAGAUUACAGAAAGCAGCUGGGCCCCAAGACUGUUGUUCUUCACCAGAGCAAGCACAGCCAUUGUCACCGUCUAGCCCUUGUAUUGAAUGAGUGCCACAGGCACCUGUCCACCUGACUCACGUCAUACUGUCAAGGCUGAGGCACCAUGAACGCUUUGUCUAGCUCUGGAGUUCAGUUGUGGUGAUGAACCCGGUUGCUUCAAACAAGGCAAUCAUCUUAACAGAUAUUUUGGGGGGUAGGAAAAGACCAAAUGUGUGUGUGUGUGUGUGUGUGUGUGUGUGUGUGUGUAGAAAGAGAGAGAGAAAAGAAUGAGAGAAAGAGGAGAGAGAAAAGGAAAGACAUUUGUUCUGGCCUGCUGCAUUUCUUUGCAUAAAAAACAAAACUAUAAAAAAUUGCAGGAUUUGCAUUUAGCUAAUGCUACUAGUGAAAGCUGUAGCUAUAGCUGUAGCCACAUUGUACCAUGUGGCUAGUGCAUUGGAGCCCAGACUUGCUAGUAUGGUUUAAAAUAUCGUAAUAGCAAUAAUAAAGGUGGGGAGUAGCUUUGCCUCUUGGAGGUGAACAUGGGGCCAGGAGACCAAUAAGGAGAAAGAUUUUUCUCUUCAAGAAAUUAGAAACUAAGAAGACAAUGUGUAUUAUUUCGUUGCCUCAGAAGAGCUGCUUUGCAGGAUCACCAAGGGUUUUAAUUAAUCAAUGCACCUGCAGACUCCCCAAGGAAAGGCUGUAAGUGCUGUAAUGUAGUAUAUUUUCGUUUUUCAUGAAUAAUUUCCACUUCAUGGUGAGGAACUUGGGUAGAAUUCCAUCGUAUACAGCACCUACUGACAGCAGGUCAGCUCCAGUUUUUUGCAGCUCAUGAAGUCCUCCCUGUCUGGCGGCUCACCCUGUUUAAUAGACUUCAAAUCCCAUUCUCUUUUGCAUUUUGAUGGAAUUUGAGGAGUGGUCUUUUUUUGGAAAGUCACAUUCUCGGUAGUAUUUUGGCUUUAGUCGAUAGUAGUAAAAUCAUGCUCCACUUCUCUAAUUUUAGGUCUUCUCCUUUGAGCAGAAUGAAUAUGUAGUUCAUCCUAUGCGUGUAUGUAUUUCCAGCUUUAGAUGCAGAAGGAGCAAGAGAUACUGCAGUGCAGGAACCCAGAUCGACUUUCCAGCCUGAAUCUCAUUCUUGAUCAGAAUUGCUGUGAACCAAAUAAAAUUUUUACCCAUAGGCUUUUAUGUGCAAGUUCUGCCAUGGCUCCAACCUUCUGACAUUUCCACCUCUCUGCCUUCAGGGAGCUAGUCAGCCCUUCUGUGUGGGUGUAUAGGAAGGAGACACAAACUUGAGUGUGGCUUACCUACCAAAACAUAAUGCCACGGUGUGUCAAAGGCAAACUCGCAGUUGGUCUGGCCUCCUAGCUAUUUCCAGCCUACCGUUCCCUCUGGGUGGCAUUGCUGGAGACAGGGACCUCCAAGGUCAGAUCUGAGUCUGCUGGAGAGAUGUUAAGGGUAUUGCCUCACUGUGCAGUGAAAAAGCUGUGAAACAAUCUGAGCAUGUUAUGCAACAGAAUUCUCCAGUACCCAAGCAUUGCUGCCUGGGAAACAGACCGUGUGGCAGGAACCCAUCCCCAAAGGGGCUGAGGAUAUGUAGGAAUUAGGCCAAUAAAGGAUGGGUAAAAUUGCUCCUGACACCAUGACAAGCUUGCAAUUAGGGGUGGAGAUGAGGGUGUGAUAAAGGGAAUUUACAACCAUAAAGAUACCAACAGUCUACUUCAUGUGUGCUAUCACAUUUAAAUUCAUCAGUGAGCUAAAAUUUUGUUUUGCAUGUGACUAAAUUAGAGCACAGGAUCUCUCACGACUAAUUUGUAGUGUAGCCUGACCCCAUGCCUGCCUGACCUUCAAGCCAAUGUUUUCCCCUCUCAUCCUAUUUUUCCCUGAUAACAUGUGUGGUUUAGAAAGGAAUUUCAAGAUUGAUCCCAGACUUUAUUCCAUGAUAGAGGAGCUAGGAUUGUGU